AGAUUGAACGCUAGCGGGAUGCUUUACACAUGCAAGUCGAACGGCAGCGCGGACUUCGGUCUGGCGGCGAGUGGCGAACGGGUGAGUAAUAUAUCGGAACGUGCCCAGUAGCGGGGGAUAACUACGCGAAAGCGUGGCUAAUACCGCAUACGCCCUACGGGGGAAAGGGGGGGAUUCUUCGGAACCUCUCACUAUUGGAGCGGCCGAUAUCAGAUUAGCUAGUUGGUGAGGUAAAGGCUCACCAAGGCGACGAUCUGUAGCUGGUUUGAGAGGACGACCAGCCACACUGGGACUGAGACACGGCCCAGACUCCUACGGGAGGCAGCAGUGGGGGAAUUUUGGACAAUGGGGGAAACCCUGAUCCAGCCAUCCCGCGUGUGCGAUGAAGGCCUCGGGUUGUAAGUA
rnacentral:rRNA from 1 species